UCCCUCUUAGCUCAGUGGUAGAGCGCGUCACUAGUAUCGCUUUCGGUAUGACGAGGUCAGUCGUUCAAGUCGGCUAGAGGGAA